GCGUAUUUUCCAUAUCAUAACUUUGCAGUACAGUUUUGGGGCAGUUCCUUUUGGUCUGCGCUUAGCGCAGUUCUAUUUAGUUUUCAUGCUAGUCUCUUCGUGUUAUUCGCAGUCCGUUUCACAACAGUUUUCUCUGGCCGAAACAAUUUUCAACCCACGCUGUUUGUAUCCACGCUAUUUGCAUCUACGCCGCUCGUAUGCACACUCUUUGUACCACGCCGUUUUGAUUUGUGGAGUUGUUUAU